rnacentral:piRNA from 1 species
AAAAGGACAGGAACGCCUACUUUCAGC